AGCACACUUUUACUCUACGCAACUGUUGCUUUUUCAUGAUCUUCAGGAAUUUUACUGGGAUAAUUAUCCAAAUAAAUUGCAAGCAUUCUAUCCAAAUGGAGCUCUUUCUGAGAUGAAGAGAAUUCUCAAUGUCAAGAUUUGAACAAGAAGAGAAUGGAAUACACAAUAUGGACAUCCAUAAAAAUUCAUCAGAGAGCAUUUUACUACUGAGCUGCAAAGGGAAAAACUUAAAAUGGAUAUGAAAAGUGAAGAAAGUGAUCAUAGGAGAAAACCAUUUCAGAUCAACCACCUCAGAAGAGCCAGAUUCCACUUCUGUGGCCAGGACUUUUACAUUAUGGCUGGUCCGAUUGUUUUACCCUGCGUUCUAUGCUACUAAACCUUGGAUCAUUCCUAAAGUACAAAUUCUGUUCUCGAACCACAAACAAGGCUAAAAGAUCGGAGGAAAUUCAGUGAAUAUACAGGAUUGGGGUUGUGUAUUUUUAAAAGUAUUGAGCUUUAUAAUGUAAUUAUUCAAGAAAUAGAAUCAUGGUUUUUUUAUGAUGUUGCCAGCAUUUUAAAUUACAUGUUUAUUAAGUGGCAUUGCUCAAAUAACUACAGAGUAUGCGUGGAAAUAUUUGCUGUCUGAAUAGUUUGGAGAUUCAAAGAGAAAAAUCAAGCUUCAGAGGUAUUAAAUUAUGACAUGCAGAAAA
rnacentral:lncRNA from 1 species